AACGAACGCUGGCGGCAGGCUUAACACAUGCAAGUCGAACGGUUGUAGCAAUACAGCAGUGGCAGACGGGUGAGUAACACGUGGGAACCUUCCUAGGGGUACGGAACAACUCAGGGAAACUUGAGCUAAUACCGUAUACGUCCGUGAGGAGAAAGAUUUAUCGCCCUUAGACGGGCCCGCGUAGGAUUAGGUAGUUGGUGGGGUAAUGGCCUACCAAGCCUACGAUCCUUAGCUGAUCUGAGAGGAUGAUCAGCCACACUGGGACUGAGACACGGCCCAGACUCCUACGGGAGGCAGCAGUGGGGAAUCUUGGACAAUGGGCGCAAGCCUGAUCCAGCCAUGCCGCGUGAGUGAAGAAGGCCUUCGGGUUGUAAAGCUCUUUUACCAGGGACGACAAUGACGGUACCUGGAGAAUAAGCCCCGGCAAACUUCGUGCCAGCCGCCGCUGUAACAC
rnacentral:rRNA from 1 species